rnacentral:rRNA from 1 species
UACGUAGGGAGCGAGCGUUGUCCGGAUUCAUUGGGCGUAAAGAGCUCGUAGGCGGCUUGAUAAGUCGGAUGUGAAACCUCCAGGCUCAACCUGGAGUCGCCAUCCGAUACUGUCAUGGCUAGAGUCCGGUAGGGGCCCACGGAACUCCUGGUGUAGCGGUGAAAUGCGCAGAUAUCAGGAAGAACACCGAUGGCGAAGGCAGUGGGCCGGGCCGGUACUGACGCUGAGGAGCGAAAGCGUGGGGAGCGAACAGG